UGCUUUCCAUUAGUUAUCAUCUUGUGACAUAAGACAUUGCUCACUCAACAAAUACUUAUGAUGUUGUCAAUCCCUAGCCUUAUGCUGUAUGCUGAGGACAUUGAGAUGAGUCAGAUUUAUCAGUGCCCUCAAGGAGGUGACAGUCUCUAUAAGGCAGUCACAAGAAGAAUCAUGUAAACACAUAAUUAUAAUGCAACACGGCAAAUGAUGAUUCAGUGGAUGUUUCUACAGAGUCUAGGGAAUCUUGGAAGAUGGAGAGGGAGUUUGGGAAGGCUUCAAGAAGAAGAUGAUAUUUAAACUCAGAGAGACCACAGUGUUCUGCUUGGACUCCAGAACUCUGCUGUGGUCAGUUGGAAAACUUUCCUGGGGCAGAGAUUUGGGCAAUCACGAGGCUCAUUUGGCCGCUGACACAGAAUACAUCAACGAUAGGCCAGAUGUAAUUGAAAAACAAGAAGAGAAGUUUAGAGACAAGAUUGAACGUCAGUCCCCACCCUCCCCCAGCAACCCCGCCAACGCCAGUGUUACCAUCUACUUUGCCUCCGUCACAUUUGAAUAAGUGCAGAAGGUCACAGAUGAUGUGCUGAAGUGCUAUUUUUAACAUUUCUAAAUGGGUGCCACAGAUUGUAUGCAUUAGAAAAU
rnacentral:lncRNA from 1 species